UGUUGGCACCAUUCUUCGAGAGACCACUCGGAGGAGGUGGCUGCAGCUGUUGCAGGCCUUACAUUUUUCAGAGUCUCAUCAGGUGUUUUCUAGACCUUGCGCCUUGGAGCCAUCACCAAAUGAUUACUCUAUGUUCCUGCACUAAUUCUCCCUGAAAGAUAGCACUGGGAAUUGAACCCAGGACCUUAGUCCAUGCGGAGAAACAUGUGUCACUAACCUGAAUCCCCAGACAAGGGCCCUUAUCUUAGUUGAAUAAAUGUGAGAAUUACACUGAGCUUGUAAUUAGAAGCCAUGCAAGCGAGAGAAAAUAAAAUGAAAUACUGAAGGCACUGAAUGACCCACCACCAAUUCUACAAUUAUGUAUGCAGUAAAAAUAUCU